rnacentral:rRNA from 1 species
CCUACGGGAGGCAGCAGUGAGGAAUAUUGGUCAAUGGGCGAGAGCCUGAACCAGCCAAGUCGCGUGAGGGAAGACGGUCCUAUGGAUUGUAAACCUCUUUUGCCGGGGAGCAAAAAGCGGUACGUGUACCGCAUCGAGAGUACCCGGAGAAAAAGCAUCGGCUAACUCCGUGCCAGCAGCCGCGUUAAUACGGAGGAUGCGAGCGGUAUCCGUAUUUAUUGGGUUUAAAGGGUGCGCAGGCGGCGAGUUAAGUCAGCGGUAAAAUUUCGGGGCUCAACCCCGACAAGCCGUUGAAACUGGCGUGCUAGAGUGGGCGAGAAGUAUGCGGAAUGCGUGGUGUAGCGGUGAAAUGCAUAGAUAGCACGCAGAACUCCGAUUGCGAAGGCAGCAUACCGGCGCCCAACUGACGCUCAGGCACGAAAGCGUGGGUAUCGAACAGGAUUAGAUACCCUGGUAGUC